rnacentral:rRNA from 1 species
UACGUAGGGUGCAAGCGUUGUCCGGAAUUAUUGGGCGUAAAGAGCUCGUAGGCGGUCUGUCGCGUCUGCUGUGAAAACUCUGGGCUUAACCCUGAGCUUGCAGUGGGUACGGGCAGACUAGAGUGCGGUAGGGGAGACUGGAAUUCCCGGUGUAGCGGUGAAAUGCGCAGAUAUCGGGAGGAACACCGGUGGCGAAGGCGGCGACCUGGGUAGAUACUGACGCUGAGGCGCGAAAGCGUGGGAGCAAACAGG